rnacentral:rRNA from 1 species
UGACUCUGUUCAACGGCCGCGGUAUCCUAACCGUGCGAAGGUAGCGUAAUCACUUGUUCUUUAAAUGAGGACUAGUAUGAAUGGCACCACGAAGGUUAUACUGUCUCCUUUUUCUAAUCAGUGAAACUAAUCUCCCCGUGAAGAAGCGGGAAUAAAAAUAUAAGACGAGAAGACCCUAUGGAGCUUUAAACAAAUAUACACUUGCCUUCCGAUCAAAAAUUUCAGUAGACAAAUAAUUACCCAGGCAUUUUGAUAUAGCGUUUUAGGUUGGGGUGACCGCGGAGCAAAAAACAACCUCCGCAACGAACGGGAAAUCUUUCCCUAAACCAAGGGCCACGACCCCAAGUAUCGAUAAAUCGACACUAAUUGACCCAAUAAACUUGAUCAAUGAACCAAGUUACCCUAGGGAUAACAGCGCAAUCCACUUCAAGAGCCCCUAUCGACAAGUGGGUUUACGACCUCGAUGUUGGAUCAGGGUAUCCCAGUGGUGCAGCCGCUACUAACGG